CGCCAGACUCCUACGGGAGGCAGCAGUGAGGAAUAUUGGUCAAUGGGCGCGAGCCUGAACCAGCCAAGUCGCGUGAGGGAGGACGGCCCUACGGGUUGUAAACCUCUUUUGCCGGGGAGCAACGGGCGUCACGUGUGGCGCCACUGAGAGUACCCGGAGAAAAAGCAUCGGCUAACUCCGUGCCAGCAGCCGCGGUAAUACGGAGGAUGCGAGCGUUAUCCGGAUUUAUUGGGUUUAAAGGGUGCGUAGGCGCAUCUUUAAGACAGUGGGAAAUGGGGGGGCCUAACCCCCUGCCCGCCAUUGAAACUGGCGUUCUUGAGUGGAAGAGAAGUAUGCGGAAUGCGUGGUGUAGCGGUGAAAUGCAUAGAUAUCACGCAGAACCCCGAUUGCGAAGGCAGCAUGCCGGCUUCCGACUGACGCUGAAGCACGAAAGCGUGGGGAUCGAACAGGAUUAGAUACCCCCGUAA
rnacentral:rRNA from 1 species